rnacentral:rRNA from 1 species
UACGGAAGGUGCGAGCGUUAAUCGGAAUUACUGGGCGUAAAGCGCACGUAGGUGGUUUUAUAAGUCGGAUGUGAAAGCCCCGGGCUUAACCUGGGAAUUGCAUCUGAUACUGUCUGACUAGAGUAUGCUAGAGGGAAGUGGAAUUCCAGGUGUGAGCGGUGAAAUGCGUAGAUAUCUGGAGGAACACCAAUGGCGAAGGCAACUUCCUGGGGCAAUACUGACACUGAUGUGCGAAAGCGUGGGGAGCAAACAGG